UGUUUCGGAUCCUGUGCAGUGACCCCUAAUGUCACCUGUAUCUACAUGCAUGGACACAGUCUCAUGCAUCCAUAAACAAACAUGGGCGCUGUCGUAUUGGUGGCAUAGAGAAGACUGAGCACACGAGAAGAAUAAAUCUUCCGUUUGAAUGUGAAGGAAGCUCAACGUGUGUCUCGUCUUUCUCAUAUCACAGGCCAAACAAGACUCCUGAAAACGGAUCCACACCAAAAUCCCAUCUGUUUGACACGAUGCUGCCUGACAAAGCAAAGUUCUGGAGGCCAAACCCAGUUUCAGUGGCUUGCAUGGGUAAG